rnacentral:rRNA from 1 species
UACAGAGGUCUCAAGCGUUGUUCGGAUUCAUUGGGCGUAAAGGGUGCGUAGGUGGCGGGGCAAGUCUGGUGUGAAAUCUCGGAGCUCAACUCCGAAACUGCACUGGAUACUGCCUUGCUCGAGUACUGGAGAGGAGAUUGGAAUUUACGGUGUAGCAGUGAAAUGCGUAGAUAUCGUAAGGAAGACCAGUGGCGAAGGCGAAUCUCUGGACAGUUACUGACACUGAGGCACGAAGGCCAGGGGAGCAAACGGGG